GCAUUUGGAUUACAACCAUUCAACAAAUCUCUAGGAAGUUCCGAACUUUCCUCAUCUUCCUGUGACUUGCUGAACUGGGUAAUGGGCAGACAUUGGAACAGUUUGGAGGGCUUCUUCUGAGAAGCCCAUUACCCAAUUCCAAAGCUGCUUCCACAUUUUCAGUUAAACGGCUUAUAACAAGUGACAGAGAAUGGGUUAAUAUCUUCUAUUAUGUGCACAGAAAGACUACUAUCUCAACAGGGAGAAAACGAAACAAAACGAAACACACAGAAACUCAAAAGUUGGAAAGAGGCAAGUGAUGAUCAUGACAGCAGCAAUGACCAUAUCCUCUCCUACUUGCCCAGGUGAAAGGAAUUUCACAGCAAGAACACACUUGGUAAUUUGGACAAAUGCAGUGGGUCAAACAUCUAGCUGAUUAUGUUGGGUUCCCUGAAGCAGGCUAUGCCAGCUGAAACCUCUCUUAUCAGUCAACUGAGCAGUUCUGGAGUCUUCUCCCAGGAAAUAUGCUCAAAAAAUUAAGGGAUUUCCUCAGGGACAUGUGCUUAUCGGGGUACAGACAGAAUUCAAACCUGAAUUUCAGAACCAUAAAGGCAAUGACAACAUGUGAAACUUAUGG